GUGCAUGUCACAGUGCAUCUGCCAAACUUUUCUUCGACGGAUAUUGUAGAACAGAAUCGGGUUGUAAGUCGUAAUAUCAGUAUAAAUUAGUAAUUAAUAACGGGUAAUUUAAAAUUACCCGUUUAGUGCAUAGCUACAUCAGAUGUAGAAUAACUAUAUCAAUUGCAACAAAUUGAAUUUUGCACUUCAACCCGACGUCCAAGGAGAAUUAUUCAUGCAUCAAAUUGGGUUUUGCUCCUGUGUCCGACUUCGUAGGAGAACCAUUCUUUCAUCAGAUUGGGUUUUGCACCUGAGUCCAAUUUCACAGGAGAACCAUUCUUACAUCAGAUUAUAAGGAUUUUGCACCUGAGCCCGACUUCGUAGGAGAGCCAUUCUUUCAUCAGAUUGGGGUUUCCACCUGAGCCCGACUUCGUAGGAGAACCAUUCUUACAUCAGAUUAUAAGGGUUUUGCACCUGAGCCUGACUUCGUAGGAGAACCAUUCUUUCAUCAGAUGGGAUUUUGCACCUGAGUCCGACUUUGUAGGAGAACCAUUCUUUCAUCAGAUUGGAUUUUGCACCUGAGCCCGACUUUGUAGGAGAACCAUUCCUUCAUCAGAUGGGGUUUUGCACCUGAGCCCGACUUUGUAGGAGAACCAUUAUUCCAUCAGAUUCCCGACUUAGCAGGAGAACCAUUCCUUCAUCAGAUGGAGUUUUGUACCUGAGCCCGACAUCGUAGGAGAACCAUUCUUUCAUCAGAUUGGGGUUUCCACCUGAGCCCGACUUCGUAGGAGAACCAUUCUUACAUCAGAUUAUAAGGGUUUUGCACCUGAGCCCGACUUUGUAGGAGAACCAUUCUUUCAUUAGAUUAUAAGGGGUUUCCACCUGAGCCCGACUUCGUAGGAGAACCAUUCUUACAUCAGAUUAUAAGGGUUUUGCACCUGAGCCUGACUUCGUAGGAGAACCAUUCUUUCAUCAGAUGGGAUUUUGCACCUGAGUCCGACUUUGUAGGAGAACCAUUCUUUCAUCAGAUUGGAUUUUGCACCUGAGCCCGACUUUGUAGGAGAACCAUUCCUUCAUCAGAUGGGGUUUUGCACCUGAGCCCGACUUUGUAGGAGAACCAUUAUUCCAUCAGAUUCCCGACUUAGCAGGAGAACCAUUCCUUCAUCAGAUGGAGUUUUGUACCUGAGCCCGACAUCGUAGGAGAACCAUUCUUUCAUCAGAUUGUAAAUAUUGAAUUUCUUUAUCGGUUUCAUAAAUAACUUUACCGGGGGUUUCCACCUGAGCCCGACUUCGUAGGAGAACCAUUAUUACAUCAGAUUAUAAGGGUUUUGCACCUGAGCCCGACUUUGUAGGAGAACCAUUCUUUCAUUAGAUUAUAAGGGUUUUGCACCUGAGCCCGAUUUCGUAAGAGAACAAUUCUUUCAUCAGAUUAUAAGGUUUUGUACCUGAGCCCGACUUCGUAGGAAAACCAUUCUUUCAUCAGAUUUUCUACCUUGACUUGCGCAGCAUACUGUGCGCAACUAUUUGAGCAGUACCGUGCCGAUUGUCGUCUUCAAGUUUCGUCAGUCGGUGGUGCGCAGCGGUGUGGUCCUUACGUGUUUCUUUGCUCUGUCGACUUUCAUCGCGGCUGUUAGCAAUUCUGCUGUUUUAAUACGGUAGAAGCAUUGAAAUUGUUUGCCAUCGACUAUUGACUAACUGAUUUAUCGCGAAUCAACUCCUAAGAGAUCUCAUCAUGUCCGCGUGUGAAUGGUAUUCGUCGCCGGCCGUCGGAUCUCUUUUGUGCUGCUACGGAUUUCAACUGGAUUUGCUGGGUAAAAUUAUUCAAUUCUUAAUUCUUCAGCAUAAAGCACGUGUUUUUUCUUGUGUGGGAUUGUUGCCAGUGCAAAAGUACUACAGUGAGAAGUAAAUCAAUUCUACUUUGUGUAGUUUGGAGCUUCAUGGAUAGAACAACAAAGGAGUAUUUAACAUCAAGUAAACAAUUUCAUCUGUACACAAAAUUGUAAUCUAAAAUCACGUUUAUUUUAUCAAUAACUAUAUAUUUAUAUAUACGCUAAAUUAAUAUGGAUCGAUGAAACUAAAAUUAUAGUCUUUCUUUAUUUUUGUAUUGUCAUACAUUUGCAUAUAAUAUAUUUAAUACUGUCGCAAGUGGCCGUAUAGUUUCAAAAUGCGUACGUAACAAUACCUAUGAUAUGUUCUUAAUUUUGACUAGUAUAAAGUUGCAUUGUAUGUUUUAUUGAAAUAUCCAUUGCAACGGUGUUAUGGAUGUGCGUAUUUUAAGGCAAGUCUUUACGUUCUCGGAAUUUCAUAGCCAUGGUAAUUUUCGAUAUGUAUAAUUGUAUAUAUUUUUAUAUAAUGUUUGUAAAUAAAACACAAUAUAAUAUUACAAUCUC